rnacentral:lncRNA from 1 species
AACAAUAUGUUGUUGUUCAUCAGUAUUAAGUCGACAUACAAACGAAUGACCUUCAAAUAUAUUAGGUAAACCAUGGUUGUGAAGUCCAUAUUUUACGGCAAUCUUCCAACCCAAACCAUUUUUUGACGGUGUUGACCUUGUUUUGAAUGUACAAUCACGUUUCUUGGUAGCACUUUAUGUUUCGCUAUCUCCUUUGUAUUUUCCACCUCUAUCACGACCAACUAUAACUUUGUC